UCCCACAGACUCAAUUGGAAAGAUUUUUAAACUUUGAAAAAUAUUUGUAACAGCCUAAUUGAAACAUACUUGAAGCUAUCAAAUCUGUACUUCCUUUUUUCUUUGGCAAAAUAUAACAAAUUAACUAUCCCCAAUUUAGGGUAAAAACCUAAUUAGACAUUGGUUAGACAUCACUUUUUUAAUUCUACGCCCAUUUGGAAAGUUGUGCACAUCACUCAACUCCGACGACUCCGACAGCACCAAGCCAGUCUAUUGCUGUUCAAUGUCAUUGGGGUCAAAGAUGACAUUUAAAUCAAAACAACACUCUCGUCGUGAGCCUGCUGCUGGUCAAAAUGAAAUUCCGACCCGGAGUUUAGUCGAUACGCGCCGGAACCGGCUGCGGCUUUUUGUUUCCUGUUGCGGAUUGUGUUCUGGCUUACUAAUGCCAAAAGCGUCACCGCUGAUCAGAUCGUCAUCGGGUGUUCACAGUGACCAACUUAUCUCUGAUCAAGCUGUAAAAUGAUGGAUGAGUGUUGUUACUUCUACUUUUGCUUCAUUCUUGGACGUUUUAAGAUUUUGUCGCUGCUGCAAGGCUCUACAAAAAAAUACCCCAGCGCAGCUGGUCCGAGAGCGGAGAUGAUGUGAACGAUCUGUGGCAAGGUACGCUGCCGAGAAGGGGAAUAAUAUAAACUUCCGGAACAAACAAAAGGAUUAAUACCGCUGCACAAGCUGCCCAAGGGGAUCGCACUCAGUUAGGUUCAUUGCUGGUUGCCCACUGAAUUUUUCAUCACGAAUCAGGAAGGUAAACAAAUCUACAUCUGACCGUAGAUGUCGUCAAAAUCUUGCUACAAUACGAUAGUUUUCGCCACGACCAGUGGCAACGCUGGAUCGCUGGGCAUGCCAACAUGCGUUAGUGACUACGCGCUCUCCGACGAAGGAACUCGCGACGCUGCCUAGUGCUUCCGGUUCCAGUUUCUUAGCUCCCGGUUUGCGGUGGCCUUAGACCAGCGCCAAGACCUUUCGACUAGUCUAUAUUUAAGCAUUUGGUCGGGAAGCUGUGCCGGUAGCAGAUCAUCUUGGCCACGGAAAUGGGCACGGAGAUCUGAAGUAGGUGGGCGUAUCGGCAAACAUCAUCCGGGCCAACAUACCAAAGGAAAUAAGGACGUUAUAGGAUCUGCACUUACGCAUUUGUAAGUAUUACAAGUUUUCCAGAUUUAUAAAUUCCGCAAAGGUAAAAUCACAAUUUGCCUGUUCAUAGUGUAACUAAAUAUUUAUUACUCCGUUGAGUUUUAAGUCUGAUGCAAUUUUUCAAGCUUUUAGCCUACUGUAGUUUGGAAUGAUUUACUUUUGUCUAUUCUGGCCAAUAAUAAGUAUAGUUUGAUCAAAAUCAACUUUUUUCAAACUUUUUUGGUAAAGUCCAAUCAACAAAUGUAAACAUUGAGUUUAUCCCCCUCACAUUGCCCUCACACCUUCUCGGAUUAAGCGGGAUACACACAAUGUUCUCAUUUGUUUAUUGGCCCUUAUUAAAAAAUGUCCUGAAGUGCUUAAAUUGGAUAGAAAUUGUAACAAAAGUACGUCAUUUCGAGCAAU